GUCUAUAGCCAUGCCACCCUAAAUGUACCCGAUCUCGUCAGAUCUUGGAAGCUAAGCAGGGUCGGGCCUGGUUAGUACUUGGAUGGGAGACCACCUUAGGAAGACCAGGUGCUGUAGGCG
rnacentral:rRNA from 1 species